GGCUUGUGUGGGUAUGUUGGAUCCCUGCCGUGGCAGCGACAACAUCCUCUUCAUGCCUGUUCAUUGGAUGACCGAAUCUCGCAUUUCGUCAUCUCACCUUCGGUUCCCUGUGUUGCAUACCUUCGCGACGGUAUCCUGUCGGCUAGAAUCGCCCCGUUUCGCCCUACGUUGCGAGUAACAUCGCGACCGAAGGCGAACCGAAAAGCAUUCAUCGCGUUCCACCCCGUUCGCGUUACGCGUUGCGGGGACCGGCCCACGAUGACGUGCUCGAAUUCUCGGAUGCGGAACACAAUGUGGGCACGAGGACGUCGAUCCUCCGUUUGCCCCUCGAACAAGCGUUCUACGCUCUGUGCGAACGACGUUCUUUCUCGUGCUGGGCUUCCGUCCACACGAGGUCGACGUCGCAGAGGAAUGCUACCUGGUUGAUCCUGCCAGUAGUCAUAU
rnacentral:misc_RNA from 1 species